GCUCCGUUCGUCUAACGGUCAGGACGUGGCCCUCUCAAGGCCAAAAUAGGGGUUCGAUUCCCCUACGGAGCGCCA
rnacentral:tRNA from 1 species